UCGUUAGCUCAGCUGGUAGAGCAGCGGACUUUUAAUCCGUUGGUCGCGAGUUCGAUCCUCGCAC
rnacentral:tRNA from 1 species